GCGCCUGUAGCUCAGUUGGUCAGAGCGGGCCGCUCAUAACGGCUUGGUCGCAGGUUCGAGCCCUGCCGGGCGCA
rnacentral:tRNA from 1 species